UCGGGAAUUUUGGGCAAUGGGCGAAAGCCUGACCCAGCAACGCCGCGUGAGGGAUGAAGGCCCUCGGGUCGUAAACCUCUGUCGGGAGGGGAGAACGGUCGCGAUUCGAACAGGGUCGCGGCCUGACGGUACCUCCAAAGGAAGCACCGGCUAACUCCGUGCCAGCAGCCGCGGUAAUACGGAGGGUGCAAGCGUUGUUCGGAAUCAUUGGGCGUAAAGCGCGUGUAGGUGGCUUGGCAAGUCGGUUGUGAAAUCCCGGGGCCCAACCCCGGAACUGCAUUCGAAACUGCCUCGCUAGAGUCCCGGAGAGGAAGGCGGAAUUCCCGGUGUAGAGGUGAAAUUCGUAGAUAUCGGGAGGAACACCAGCGGCGAAGGCGGCCUUCUGGACGGUGACUGACACUGAGACGCGAAAGCGUGGGGAGCAAACAGG
rnacentral:rRNA from 1 species